CCUACGGGAGGCAGCAGUGAGGAAUAUUGGUCAAUGGGAGAGAUCCUGAACCAGCCAAGCCGCGUGAGGGAAGAAGGCCCUAUGGAUUGUAAACCUCUUUUGUCGGGGAACAAAGCCCGGGACGUGUCCCGGAAUGCGUGUACCUGAAGAAAAAGCAUCGGCUAACUCCGUGCCAGCAGCCGCGGUAAUACGGAGGAUGCGAGCGUUAUCCGGAUUUAUUGGGUUUAAAGGGUGCGGGGGCGGUCCGUUAAGUCAGCGGGAAAAUGGCGGGGCUAACCCCCGGCCAGCCGUUGAAACUGGCAGACUUGAGUUGGCGAGAAGUAGGCGGAAUGCGCGGUGUAGCGGUGAAAUGCAUAGAGAUCGCGCAGAACUCCGAUUGCGAAGGCAGCGUACCGGCGCCAGACUGACGCUGAGGCACGAAAGCGUGGGGAUCGAACAGGAUUAGAUACCCUGGUAGUC
rnacentral:rRNA from 1 species